CCUACGGGCGGCUGCAGUAGGGAAUCUUCGGCAAUGGACGAAAGUCUGACCGAGCAACGCCGCGUGAGUGAAGAAGGUUUUCGGAUCGUAAAACUCUGUUGGUAGAGAAGAACGUUGGUGAGAGUGGAAAGCUCAUCAAGUGACGGUAACUACCCAGAAAGGGACGGCUAACUACGUGCCAGCAGCCGCGGUAAUACGUAGGUCCCGAGCGUUGUCCGGAAUUAUUGGGCGUAAAGCUAGCGCAGGUGCUUUCUUCGGUCUAGUCGAGCAGGCAGUGGCUCAACCAUUGUAUGCAUUGGAAGAUGGUAGACUUGAGUGCAGGAGAGAAACGUGGGCUUCCAUGUGUGGCGGUGGAAUGCGUAGAUAUAGGGAGGAACACCGGUGGCGACAGCGGCUCUCUGGCCUGUAACUGACACUGAGGCUCGAAAGCGUGGGGAGCAAACAGGAUUAGAUACCCCGGUAGUC
rnacentral:rRNA from 1 species